AAUAAACGUUGGCGGCGUGCUUAACACAUGCAAGUCGAGCGAGAAAGGUCUUCGGACUGAGUACAGCGGCAAACGGGUGAGUAACGCGUAGGAAUCUGCCUUUCAGUGAGGAAUACCCUCGAGAAAUCGAGGUUAAUACUGCAUACGUCUCGAAAGAGAGAAAGAUGGCCUCUUUGCUGUCGCUGAAAGAUGAGCCUGCGUACUAUUAGCUAGUUGGUGGGGUAAAGGCCUACCAAGGCGAUGAUGGUUAGCCGGCCUGAGAGGGUGUUCGGCCACACUGGAACUUAGACACGGUCCAGACUCCUACGGGAGGCAGCAGUGAGGAAUAUUGCGCAAUGGGCGAAAGCCUGACGCAGCGACGCCGCGUGGAGGAUGAAGGUCUUCGGAUCGUAAACUUCUGUUAAGCGGGAAGAAAAGCAAGGUUAUAAUACAGCCUUGUCAUGACGGUACCGCUAGAGAAAGCACCGGCUAACUCCGUGCCAGCAGCCGCGGUAA
rnacentral:rRNA from 1 species